rnacentral:misc_RNA from 1 species
CCUCGAUACGCGAUUCGAUCGAGAAUAACGCGAUAUCCCGGGCUCGCGGGAUCUAUUGUAACGAGCUUGACUUAUCGAGGUUUACUUUUUCACCAAUAUCUUCUUCAGGAGUUAUACUUAACUCGAGAUCGUUAGCGCGUGCACCGUUCUAUCAAAACGAAAGAACACAAGAUCGCGGGUGUCAGACCCGCUUCGAUUUCCGUGGGAACGACGGUAGGAAAAUUCGAAGAAGCAGCAGCCAGCUCGAAAUCUCCAACUUUUCUGUCGAGGCGGCCGGGUGUCGAGACACGGACUAUAAGCGAUAUAGAUUAUCAAAGUUCG